GAUGAACGCUGGCGGCGUGCUUAACACAUGCAAGUCGAACGGAAAGGCACCUGCUUGCUGGGGUAAUCGAGUGGCGAACGGGUGCGUAACACGUGGGUGAUCUGCUCUGCACUUCGGGAUAAGCCUGGGAAACUGGGUCUAAUACCGGAUAGGACGAUGGUUUGGAUGCCAAUGUGGAAAGUUUUUCGGUGUGGGAUGGGCUCGCGGCCUAUCAGCUUGUUGGUGGGGUAAUGGCCUACCAAGGCGUCGGCGGGUAGCCGGCCUGGGAGGGUGGACGGCCACAUUGGGACUGAGAGACGGCCCAGACGCCUACGUGAGGCAGCAGGGGGGAAUAUUGCACAAUGGGCGCGAGCCUGAUGCAGCGACGCCGCGUGGGGGAUGACGGCCUUCUGGUUGUAAACUCCUUUCGCUAGGGACGAAGCGCAAGUGACGGUACCUGGAGAAGAAGCACCGGCUAACUACGUG
rnacentral:rRNA from 1 species